rnacentral:tRNA from 1 species
ACAGCUCAGUCGGUAGAGCAUGAGACUCUUAAUCUCAGGGUUGUGAGUUUGAGCCCCACAUUGAGUG